rnacentral:rRNA from 1 species
GAUAGAGGGUGGCUCGAAAGAGAGCCGUAACACAGGUGCUGCAUUGGCUGUCGUCAGCUCGUGUCGUGAGAUGUUGGUUAAGUCCCGCAACGAGCGCAACCCUUGUCAUUAGUUGCUACAUUCAGUUGGGCACUCUAAUGAGACUGCCGGUGACAAGCCGGAGGAAGGUGGGGAUGACGUCAAGUCCUCAUGGCCCUUAUAGGUGGGGCUACACACGUCAUACAAUGGCAGGUACAAAGGGUUGCCAACCCGCGAGGGGGAGCCAAUCCCAUAAAGCCAGUCGUAGUCCGGAUCGUAGUCUGCAACUCGACUACGUGAAGUCGGAAUCGCUAGUAAUCGUGGAUCAGAAUGUCACGGUGAAUACGUUCCCGGGUCUU